GGGGGUGACUGGCUUCGACAGAGAAAUCGGUGUGUGUUUGCGCGUUGCGAGAUUGAACGACUCUCUCAAACCGUUCAAACACUUCAAGUGCGAACAAAGUAGCACGGGCAAUUUUGUCACCUAUACAGAUGGCAGAUUUGCAGCCCGCUUACGCAUUCGUUGCCUAAGCGCCGUCCGCUGACCCGAUGCUUGAUCAAGGUCAGUAGGGCGUAAAAAUCUCAAGCACUGACACUGAACGUCCAUUCAAUGUCUAAGACUUCGGAAUCGGGGCGCUGUGUUUCUGUGCAUCUCUUAUGCAGCGUUCUUAAACAAAAUCAGAUGUUCUACGCAACGUAGACACACUCACACACUUUUCUCUGGACCGGGGUUCAAUUCCCCGCACCUCCACUC
rnacentral:tmRNA from 2 species